AUGAACCCACUGUUGCCGGAGAAAAGAAGCCACGACUGCUAUGAGAGGAGCAGACCUGGGAAGCUCCCACAAGGUAAAGGUGCCUGCAAUCCACCAAACGCGACGCUUGAGACACCGCCGACAAUAUCGAGAGCAACCUCGCCACCUAAGCAACACGAGGUGAAUGCAAUCGAUGUUGCCGAACUCUCGAGGCCGCCGCCUCGACCUCCGAUGCUCCGUUGUGCCCUGCAUAGUCCACCAACAUACCACUUUCCGGGACCGCCGUCCCGACAUACCACCACUCGCCCUCAAGCUGCAACGCCGCACAACUUAGUCACCCACAACCCAAGAUGA
rnacentral:rRNA from 1 species